AGCGAACGCUGGCGGCAGGCUUAACACAUGCAAGUCGAACGGCAGCACAGUAAGAGCUUGCGCUUAUGGGGGGGGAGUGGCGGAAGGGAGAGGAAAAUAACGGAACCUACAUUUUCGUGGGGGUUAACGAAGGGAAACCUACUAUAAUAUCGCAUACGCCCUUCGGGUGAAAGGAGGGGAACUUCGGAGCUUGCGCGAUUGAAUGCGCGGAUGUUGGACUAGCUAGUUGGCGGGGUUAAGACCCAGCAGGUCGGCGAUCCGUAGCCGGUCUGGGUGGAUGGUCGGCCGCACUGGAAGUGAGACGCGGUCCACACGACUACGAGACGCAGCAGUGUGGAAUAUUAGACAGUGGGCGCAAGCCUGAUCCAGCCAUACCGCGUGGGUGAAGACGGCCUUCGGUUUGGAAAGCCCUUUUGUUGGGAAAGAAAAGCAUCAGGUUAAUACCCCGCUGUCCUGACGGUACCCAGAGAAUAAGCACCGGCUAACUUCGUG
rnacentral:rRNA from 1 species